UGCUUAACACAUGCAAGUCGAACGGUAACAGUCCUAGCUUGCUAGGAGCUGACGAGUGGCGGACGGGUGAGUAACGCGUAGGAAUCUGCCUUGCAGUGGGGGAUAACACUAGGAAACUGGUGCUAAUACCGCAUACGCCUUUAGGGGGAAAGAUAUAUUGCUGCAAGAUGAGCCUGCGUCAGAUUAGCUAGUUGGUGGGGUAAAGGCCUACCAAGGCGAAGAUCUGUAGCUGUUCUGAGAGGAAGAUCAGCCACACUGGGACUGAGACACGGCCCAGACUCCUACGGGAGGCAGCAGUGGGGGAUAUUGGACAAUGGGGGCAACCCUGAUCCAGCAAUGCCACGUGUGUGAAGAAGGCCUGCGGGUUUAAAGCAC
rnacentral:rRNA from 1 species